rnacentral:rRNA from 1 species
AACGUAGGGGACAAGCGUUAUCCGGAUUUACUGGGCGUAAAGCGCCCGUAGGCGGCCUGACAAGUUGGACGUGAAAGCUCCUGGCUUAACUGGGAGAGGCCGUUCAAAACUGUCAAGCUAGAGUCUGGAAGAGGAGAGCGGAAUUCCCGGUGUAGUGGUGGAAUGCGUAGAGAUCGGGAGGAACACCAGUGGCGAAAGCGGCUCUCUGGUCCAAAACUGACGCUGAGGCGCGAGAGCGUGGGGAGCAAACCGG